GCGCCGGUCGUGUAAGACGUAGCACCAUUGCUCGGAAAGCAGAAGGUGCGGGUUCGAGUCUCGCCUGGCGCA
rnacentral:tRNA from 1 species